CAAGGAUGGGUGACCUCAUGGGAAGUCCUCGUGUUGCAUUCCC
rnacentral:rRNA from 1 species